CUACGGGCGGCUGCAGUGGGGAAUAUUGGACAAUGGGCGCAAGCCUGAUCCAGCCAUGCCGCGUGGGUGAUGAAGGCCUUAGGGUUGUAAAGCCCUUUCGGCGGGGAAGAUAAUGACGGUACCCGCAGAAGAAGCCCCGGCUAACUUCGUGCCAGCAGCCGCGGUAAUACGAAGGGGGUUAGCGUUGCUCGGAAUCACUGGGCGUAAAGCGCACGUAGGCGGAUUGCUAAGUCAGGGGUGAAAUCCUGGAGCUCAACUCCAGAACUGCCCUUGAUACUGGCGACCUUGAGUCCGGGAGAGGUGAGUGGAACUGCGAGUGUAGAGGUGAAAUUCGUAGAUAUUCGCAAGAACACCAGUGGCGAAGGCGGCUCACUGGCCCGGUACUGACGCUGAGGUGCGAAAGCGUGGGGAGCAAACAGGAUUAGAUACCCCAGUAGUC
rnacentral:rRNA from 1 species